rnacentral:rRNA from 1 species
UCCCGACCGAUGCACAC